UUACUAUCGAUCUUUGAAUCUCGAAUAUCGUGAUUUGAGUAUCGACGUUGCGCAGCUGAGUUCGUGUAUUCCACAGAUGGAAUUGUAUGUCAAGGAGAGCAUUGAUAGAGAGAAAUGAGAUACAACAAUCGUGUAAAUCAAGAAAUUACCUAAAAAAGACGCGAGAAAAUAUAGCUGGGAAGAAUUUCUUCAGGCUUAACCAUAACAUAACUAAAAGUUUCUUAGUGUGUUUACGACCGACGUUAAUAAUAGACGGUACAAGAGAAUUAGUAAAAAUGCACCGUUCUAAAUCGACCAAGAAAAAAUUCUCUCCAUCAAAACCAGUAAAACGUCAAAUGAACACUGUUCCUAAAUAAUUUAUUUUUGAUUAUCUCAUUUUUUAUACCGAAAAUGGCUUCGUCAACUAAGAGAUCCUGGAAAUUACAGGAUUUUGCUGCUCAUACAUCAAACGUCAACUGUCUAGCAUUGGGUCAUAAAUCUGGCCGAGUGUUAGUUACCGGCGGUGACGAUCGUAAAGUCAACUUAUGGGCCGUUGGAAAGCACAACUGUAUUAUGAGCCUGAGUGGACACGCGACAGCAAUAGAAUGUGUUCGUUUCGGUCAAACGGAAGACUUAGUUUGCGCUGGAUCACAGACCGGUGUGCUAAAAAUUUGGGAUCUGGAGCAUGCAAAGCUUGCCAGAACUCUGACGGGACAUGGAAAUGGUAUUAGAUGCAUGGAUUUUCACCCCUAUGGAGAAUUAUUAACAUCGGGAAGUCUGGACAAAGCAAUAAAGUUGUGGGAUAUGAGAAGAAAGGGGUGUAUAUUCACUUACAAAGGCCAUACAGAUACUGUCAAUAGUUUAAAAUUUAGUCCUGACGGACAGUGGAUAGCCAGUGCUGGAGCAGAAGGGAAAGUCAAGCUCUGGGACUUGCGAGCAGGAAAGCAAUUGAGAGAGUUUUCUGAACACAAAGGAUCGGUAACAACUGUCGAAUUUCAUCCUCAUGAAUUUCUUUUAGCCAGUGGUAGUACAGAUCGUACUGUCCAUUUCUGGGAUUUAGAAUCAUUUCAAUUGGUUUCUUCCACGGAACAAUCACAGUCCACGGCAAUUAGGAGUCUCUACUUUAGUCAAGGCGGAGAGUGUCUUUUUGCUGGUAGUCAGGAUAUUUUGAAGGUUUACGGGUGGGAACCAACACGAACGCUUGACUCAGUACCAACAGGUUGGGGAAAGGUUCAAGAUAUAGCUGUUGCACAAAAUCAAUUGAUCGGAGCUUCUUUUCACAUAGCAAAUGUAGUCCUGUUUGUUUGCGAUUUAAAAAAAGUCGCCCCAUUCGGAGGUAUCCCUACACCUGGGUCACCCUUUAGUCACGGCAACUCGUUGAGGAAAAGUUUUUCUAAAGAGAGACCUCCCGAAUUGAAGAAGCACAAAUUAGACGUUAAAACAAUAGAGGAAGCAGACAAGUCUGGUACAGAUCCUGAGGAUGAAGUGAUGCUAGCUGAAAUACCAAAUGUCACAGAUUACAGAGAUGUCUUUCAACCAAACAGGUCUUUAUCUCGCACGCCUCCCCCUGAAUUAGAAGCUUUUGUCGAACCUGAAGAAUUGGAUCCUACACAGCCGCAAAUACUUCAAACACUGUCAACGUCAUUGUCAAAUUUGAAUACAAAUGAGUUGGAUGAAGAGCCACCAUCAAUAAUGAAGCCAGUACCAGUGCGUGUUCAUCCCAUAAAAUCUUCUCCACCAGUCCAGCGUAUCUUGAUAACUUCUACAAGCCAAAUAAGAGCAAAUCUCCAGGCAAACAAUGCAAGCAAAAAUUCUAGAAAUAUAUCAACAAUCCCGCCACUUCGACAAAGUAUUACGCCACUGCUUAGCAAGAAGAAUGUUGGAAAUCAACCCUUGGGACCUCAGAGAUCAAACUCAACUUUGACACCUCGAGUCGCUCCUAUGGCUGCCAUAUCUCCGGUAAUGGAUGAUGGUAAAAUUAAAAGCAGAGCGCCCAGUCCAGAUUCUCCUAAACAUUGCCUGAAGAGGCAAAGCAGUUGUAAAGAGCGAGAACAGGGCUACGAAAGUGAUUAUCCGAUACAGAUAAACAACAUUAAACAUAGUCCGUCCGAUCCUGCUUUGAACCGGCCAAACACUGCUCAAUCACGGUCAACAUCGUUAAACAGAAAUUUUUCUAGUUCAACCCCUUUAUCAGCUCGGAAUGCAGUGAAAAAACAAAAUAAAGCUCAAAUUCAACCUAAUGUAAAGGUUGAAAUAAGGGUACCACAACUAAGGCCAGCAGUGGAAGAAAAGGUCAAAGAUGAAUUCGUUCCAAUGAUCGCUGACAAACCGAGUGGCCUUGACAUGGAUGAAUUUUUACCGAAUAGCUAUGGUGGCAGGGCAUUGGGUUACUCCCAAUUAGGCGUUCUCCCAGAAAUGUCAGAAGCCGAAGUACUGAACAGUAUGAUGCGUGGCUAUGAGUCCAUGAUGGCAGUACUUAACAGUCGUCAUAGAUCUCUGCAAAUUAUUUACUCGCUAUGGCACAGUAAAGACCUCAAGGCAGCGGUUGACUCCGCGGUAGCAAUGAACGAUUUAGCUGUUAUAGUCGACCUUUUAGGAGUUAUUACGCUUAAACCAACCAUUUGGAACUUGGACCUAUGUAAUUCUUUGCUUACCUCCAUUGGCGAUCUACUUCAAAGUAAAUACGAAAUUUGCAAAGAGGGAGAGGAGAGGAGGUCUUAUGACAUGUGCCAUUCUCACCAUCCUCACAUCCACACUCACUCCUCGAUAUCUUGCAAUCUUAAGACGGACGUCACAUGAGAAGUAACCACAGAAGAUGGUAUUUAAUGUAAUCCCGUCAUAUAAAUUCGAGGAAAUCGGAAAUCUCAGGCUUUCUUCACUCAUAAGUUACGAACGAUCGGAAAUGGAAAGAGCUAGUCGUGGCAUUGGUUAAGAUCAAGAGUCGUCGGGAAAAGAUGGUAGUUGACGAAGAAACGAGUGAAUCAGAAAGGUGCAGAUGCUUGAAGAAUUGUUGGCCAGAGAUCUACUCGGUUUCUCUGUGUUAUACCUACAGAUGAGAGUACAAUCAAUGAUUUUGCGCACAGUAGCUGAGAACACAGGGAUCGAUGCACUAUAGAGACGUGAUACUCCAGACGGGCCAAACGGUGUUCAAUAUCCUGAACCUGCAACAGCCUAUGUUUACUGGUUAGUCAGCACUCGGUGCAAUGCAGUUCGUUAUCUCAACGACGUGUGAGCCAACGUUCGAUGAUAGUAAUUAGACAGACUGCGUAACACUGGAACGACCGAAGUUGUACUCACAACGAGUAAAUAUCAUGCUUUCGACGAUGCGUAACGAGUACGUAAUGCACUUUUUACCUGCCGUUCGACGUUCAACGUUCGGAGAAGUGUGCAUGGCUUCGGGCAAAGGUAGGUAGGUACGAGGCACGAGGUCCACGUUGUACGGAGAGGAGCAUAUCGGUUGAUCCUUAGCCCGAAGACGCUACAGGAAACAGGAUAAUUCCUCGGCUCACGCAACCCUCCGUCCGAAAUUGGACUCUGGAGCACGUCGGCCUCCGACGACGAUGCCGUGCCCAUUGGGUUCAUUGCGUUGCCCACUUGCCACUCGGCCACUUGGCUCACACUGCCAACCAGCACCAGAUGGGCUUCGAUGUCUGACAUUCGACGUUUCUGUUAUGUACUUGACAGCUACCCAAAACCUGGCCGAGAUCCAGCUGCCGUAUAUCUCAUACAUGAUACGAUUAAACUAACUACGACUUGUUUUCUAAAUUCGUUUUCAGCCAGUCAAACCUGAUUUUUUGCAGUUCGAUCCGUUGCUCAAGAAUUGGAAGUUGUGGUACGCGUGACGUCUGAGGUUUGUUAAGGUCUGAACUUGAAAUUGGCAGUGAAAAUGCGAAGGACCUCCUCGUCAUUCGCCCUGGAUACCCAGCAAGGUUGAGGUCCUCGAGGGUCAGCCUGAGCAAACAAUCGGGCUAAUAAAUGGGUGGUGACUUCCGGCGUGGCGCGCGUCGGGGCGUCGAGACGUCGGAGCGUCGGGACGAUCGGUCUGCCACCCUCGGACUCUUAACUUGCAAGGAAUCGCGGGGGUUCUGGCCCCGUAUUCAGGCCCCAGUUGCUCAAGGGCGUAAAACGUCUAUUCUUUCUCAGAGGAUUAUUCAGCCGGAAGCUGUGGAAAGGAAGACGGAGGACGUUACUGUGAAGUCCGUUUGUUCACCGGAUGUUGGUAUCGGCGAGAUUUUCGGAUGAUUUAUUUGACGUCCAUCAACUAUUUGUCAAGAAUGUUUAGCCAGAAAGAAAAACAUCACGAAGAUGGGUGGUGUGUCGGGGUUCAAUACUGACGUAUCGAGCAAAAUGUACGAUGCCAACGCUGCUCGGGAAAAGCUGUUGCACCGUUCAGGGUUGCUAAGGACUGUAAAUACCUGCAGAUGAAAUAAGACGAUGCAUGAGCUGCUGAUAGAGUGAUGGAAUUUUGAGUAUAAAAGUAUGUCCCUUAUCCCCUGAUGGUGGUUCCGAUAGUUGGGAGAAGCGGGAACGAUUUGUUUGAAUUUGGUGUUUUUCAAAUAUACCAGAAUCUAAUUUCUAUCGUUGAACCUGUAACAAUUUCCAUUCUUAAAUAAAUAUGUAAUAAACGUCAGCAACUUAGACGAUGUCGUUCGAGGUAACGCUGAACGGCAAAGUAUAAAACGAUCAGCAUCGGAGCGACGCGACGCCUCGUCGAGAAGUACGUACCCAAAAUAGAUGAAAUUCUAUUAUCUUAACGGGUUCCUGGGACCCGGUGGAAAUCUCGUGGAAAACAGACGGCGUUUCCCGUAAGUCGUAUAAGGGAGGGAGAACUCGGGGUGUCCCGGAACCCGGCAGGGUAUUCCGUCGAUACGAGUUCGCGGGUGCGGAGCCGCGUCGUCGACCGGGCAACGAUAAAACCGACGGGUAACCCUGCGCCAGACAUCAGAGACGACGGGAAGUCAAACAAACACGUCCGCGCAUACACCUACUUUUAUUAUCAACAAAGUCUCGCUUUAUUACGAUGAGUUGUUUAGAUUUGAAACUGCUAUACGACCAUCCACCGCCCUCUCGCAUGCUGUGGCGCCCCCUGCGCCCGGCUCUUUGACGCGGCACCUCCGCGCCGACUCGGCCGCGACCUCCUCCUUAAUCCUUAAGGGGUGCCUUGGUCGAUUUCAACGCUGACGUAUGUACCUCAAAAUAUCGAAGUCCGCGUAUCUUCUCAAACGCAGCAACCAACGGCUCGACAGCCUCAUUCUAUAAGCAAUUCUGAACAAAAAUACUCCAAGGCAUUUUCGUUUGACGCAGAAACAAAGAAAAGGCUUGAAUUCUACAAAAUCGCAGUGGUAAAUUUCCAGAAUUCAUGUCAUUUAUUUAUUUAUGCGUCUAAUGAGAAUGUAACUAAGUGUUUUUGUUCGGAAUUGCGUGUAGAAUAGGGCUAUUAAGCCCUCUUUCGCUUUUAAGAUACGUAGACUUCGAUAUUUGGAGUUUACGCAUCAACGUCGAAAUCGACCAGAGGAUUCCCUUUAGAAAACGAGCGAGCGUCAGUUUCGUUUUCACUCGUUUCGGUGCCCCUUUGACGUCUACGAAUUACGAUAGAAGAGGAUUGAGGGGAGUGAAAAUGGAAAUAAUGAAAUUAGUCCGCUUACAGAAGACGCGCUCACAACUCAAUUUAACAUCGUUGCAUGAUAAACGAAUUCUUCUAGUUAGGCUGGAAAAUUAUUUCAUCACGUUUUGAACCAUUCGAAAAAUACGUUUAUGGUGCCUCCUUGCCCCUCGCUUACGCGGCGCUAUGAACUUCCGAUUCUUUAAGCUCGCUUCGAGCCAUUACGACUCCUCGUUAAUGCAUAAAUAGUUUGAGAAAGCAGAGGCGACUUGCGUCUUCAAAGUCCGUCUUGCCUAAUUUUUUUCUCUUAUCGUUCUCCGCCUCUCUGUUUCUUGACCUUUCUUUUAGUUGUUCUUCUCCUCUUUUGCGAUCAUUCCCACAAGUCACCCUGUACUUGAUUGUUUUCGGUAAACGCUUGCUAAAAAUGUAAUCUGUAUUGAAUACACGUCUGCAGUUUACACAACUUUAGCACAAGUACUUACUGGCUCUACAGUUCGGGCUUACAGUGCAGCUGUGUUCACGGUUCCACUAUCGUAUCCUGAUUGUUAAAUAGUAGACACGAGCCGCGGGCGGGCUUUAAGGUUUCGCCUCCCCUAUAAUUCGAUCAGAAACCCCUUCACUCCGUACAAUAAGGAGGUUUAGUUAUUUUGACGUCACGCUGUGAGAUCUCGACGCGUAAAAGUCCAUCGCUGUCGUCAGGACUUUUCAACGUUUCAUGUAUGUACAAUACCUAUAUACCUACGCUUCCGAGCUUUAAAACUGCAUCAGCCCACAACCCUUGAGCAUUUCUCGAGGACCCUCAGCGCAUCGCUGCUAUUUCCUAACUUAUUUUCUCCCUAUUUAAUGCCGGAUGUUGUCAUAUUUUUUAUUCUUAUUACGGCUGUCGUUUUUCUUUCCGAGCAAAUAAAAUUUUAGACAUGAUAUGCGACCUACAGGAUCUAGAAUCGUAUAGAAUGGGCUACGAUAACACAGAUGGAGAAUUAACGAUUGCUGAUCGUAAAGAAUAAACGAACGCAGUGCGGCCCAGAGAAACAAAAAGAAUGAGAGACAAAGAGAGACGGUUUUGUUUUCCACUCGGGAGAGCUCAUAAAGUGAAGGUGUUUCCUAAUGGAACACGACGUGUCAGGAUAAGCCGGAUACUGGAAAGGUAGAGACGGUAGUGAAUUGUGCAGUACCUCAACCUUCGAAUACGGUGUGUUUGUUGUGCAAAUAUACAUUCUUCUCCCUCCGGUAAUUCCCUCGUACGUAUUCCACGCACGUACCCUCCGAAUUACGUCUUGGUAGGCAUGCGAGAAUAUUUAACACUAUCGGAUGCGACCGUCGCAACUAUUUGAUAAAAUUUUUUGUAGUUCUUGGAUUCACAAGCCCUAUGCAUUGUACGUCGUUCAUACGGCGAUGCAAACGUAUCAGGCACGCCGUUUCUGCCAGACACGGUCGUCCAUUCAUCCCAUUUAAACAAUCUCUUUCCUUGAAAUCAAUUGUUCAUUUUUACAGGCAGGUAGCUUAUGCUUCUAUAGUUAACUACAAUAUAUAUCAAAAAAAGGAAAUAUUUACAGUACUUAUAUCCUUGUAUAGAAACUCCAACAGUCACGAAAUUUAUUUGAUUAAUGAUUUCACCACCUCACCGGGUCUGCAAACCAAGGGGGAAAAAGAUUCCACCUCUCGGUUCCGUGUACCGCUUACAACCUGGAUACAAUGAGAGAGACAUCGUUUUGAUGUCCGCUCUGAAUCUUCGAGGCAAAAUCGUCCAGCAAAAGUGCAUCGCUGCAGUACGGCGGAAAAUAUUUCGUUUCUGCCGCUGACGGCCGGCGGUACUUACUGUGUCUCUCUUUAUCCUCGUCCAGAACCGGAACUGAUUUUUCAAUAAUCUGGACGAGAGCCUGUCGAAGAAUUCCAUCGACCGUUGAGUUGGCUCACUCGCUGACAAAGGGGAUUUCUGCGUGUGUAUAUGCAACGGCUAAAUUCCCCAAAAUGCGCAAAUGCCGCAUUGCAGUGAUGUGCAUGGCGGAAAGAACGCGCCGGACGAACAUAUAUGCGUUUACAAGAGCGCAGGAGUUCUUUUCUUUCAAAACAGAUCUAUACCUACAUGGAUCCGUCAAAAUUUUCAAACGAAAUCUGACAACGGUACAAAAGUCAAGGGGCUUUGAUGGACACGUUGCCGUGCGUAGUAAGCCUCACUGUUUAUACCCUGGACCGGGUGGCCAAUUUUUAUAUCACCAGGUGCGUACAGAUCUCUUUUGGCGGUGAAAGCUAAAGUAAUGAAAUCUUAUGAUUUCAAAAAAGCGUAAGCCAAGUUCGGAGAGGACGGGGUGUUACUAUGUUCGGUUUUUCUAGAAUUUUGACUACCAUUUUAGUUGAUUUUUUACACACCAUUUGACAGUCUAAAUAAGAAGUAUAAUGAUUAGGAAUACGUGCGAUUAUGUCACCGGUAAAAUUAUGAUUCAAAGUUAUUAAGAGUAUUAUCUAUAAUGAUGCUACUUUACAAUAAAUAUAAACUACUUUUCA